CUACGGGUCGCACCAGUAGGGAAUUUUCGGCAAUGGGCGAAAGUCUGACCGAGCAAUGCCGCGUGAACGAUGAAGGUCUUCGGAUCGUAAAGUUCUGUUAUUAGGGAAGAACAACUGGUUUAGGAAAUGAUUCCAGUCUGACGGUACCUAAUCAGAAAGCUCCGGCUAACUACGUGCCAGCAGCCGCGGUAAUACGUAGGGAGCGAGCGUUAUCCGGAAUUAUUGGGCGUAAAGCGUGCGUAGGCGGUUUGUUAAGUCAAAUCUGAAAGCCCCCGGCUUAACCGGGGAGGGUGAUUUGAAACUGGCAGACUUGAGUACGGCAGAGGGUAGUGGAAUUCAAUGUGUAGCGGUGGAAUGCGUAGAUAUAUUGAGGAACACCAGUGGCGAAGGCGGCUAACUGGACCGGAACUGACGCUGAGGCACGAAAGCGUGGGGAGCAAACAGGAUUAGAUACCCCCGUAGUC
rnacentral:rRNA from 1 species